rnacentral:rRNA from 1 species
AACGAACGCUGGCGGCAGGCCUAACACAUGCAAGUCGAGCGAGGACUUCGGUCCUAGCGGCGGACGGGUGAGUAACGCGUGGGAACGUGCCCUUUGCUUCGGAAUAGCCCUGGGAAACUGGGAGUAAUACCGGAUGAGCCCUUUGGGGUAAAGAUUUAUCGGCGAAGGAUCGGCCCGCGUUGGAUUAGGUAGUUGGUGGGGUAAUGGCCUACCAAGCCGACGAUCCAUAGCUGGUUUGAGAGGAUGAUCAGCCACACUGGGACUGAGACACGGCCCAGACUCCUACGGGAGGCAGCAGUGGGGAAUCUUAGACAAUGGGGGAAACCCUGAUCGAGCCAUGCCGCGUGAGCGAUGAAGGCCUUAGGGUUGUAAAGCUCUUUCAGCUGGGAAGAUAAUGACGGUACCAGCAGAAGAAGCCCCGGCUAACUCCGUG